rnacentral:rRNA from 1 species
CCCUUAGACGUUCUGGGCCGCACGCGCGCUACACUGACCAGUGCAACAAGCAUCCGUCCUUGGCCGACAGGCCCGGGCAAUCUUUGAACGCUGGUCGUGAUGGGGAUAGACUUUUGCAAUUUUUGGUCUUCAACGAGGAAUUCCUAGUAAACGCAAGUCAUCAACUUGCAUUGAUUACGUCCCUGCGCUUUGUACACACCGCCCGUCGCACCUACCGAUUGAAUGGUCCGGUGAAGCCUCCGGAUUGGCGCGCACCUCGGUGCCGCCGAGAAGUUGGCUAAACCUUACCAUUUAGAGGAAGGUGAAGUCGUAACA